CUCUUCCUUGUUGUCUUACGAAGGUGCUUCAAUCUGAGACUUCAUCCUAUUUUUCUAUGAAGUUUGGCGUACGCGUGAAGUAGAAAAUUUGUGGAUUCAGACCUACGCGAGGCUUUGGAUUCAAAAUCUUUAGAGAUUUGAUCCCUAUUCCGCUGCAUAUCAGAUAAAGAUCUAAUCUUUAUUAAGUUAUUAUAGAAAAAUUUUUAGAUGCACCCUAUCUAUCCACUUCAUUUACCCAAAGAAAUAAGUUUCUUUUCCUUUAAUUGGUAUCAGAGCCAGGCUUUGAUAUAUGAAUGCAUAAUUGAUUUUUUUCUAAUUUAUUUACAUAUUGUAUGUAAUUAAAAUUUUAUGUUAGACAUUAAAUCUGUUUUAGAUCUGUUUAAAUAAAAUUUAUG
rnacentral:lncRNA from 1 species